UAAGAGGUUUAUGAAUUGCAAAUGUGUACAAUGCACAAUCAAUUAUACUAGUAGUGGGACGGCGUAAUGCUACGGUUGCGCAGUGUAAGACUUCCGUAUCUAGCUAUCUACUGUAAAUAACGUUACAACAAAUAGCUUUCUAUCACAUUUAGUAACUACUAGACAAUUUAGCACCUAGAACGUGUCGUAUACGAAAGGCUAAGAAGAAAUUGAUACAAUUUGGAUUUAUUUGUGCGAUCGACCGUUGGUGUUGAACUAACCACGUAACAUUAGCUACCAGUUAAACAUACGCUGUUGCUAGCAGUUAGCUAGCUUUUUGUUAGAUCUAGGCUAGCUAGCUAAUUAUCAAAAUCAUUAGGCCUGCUUUUGUUUUCAUCUGAUAUGGACUUGAGAAACGAGCUAACUUCAUCAAAUGAAUAUGUUUUUGCUUUCAAAUAACUUAAAAUAUUAUGUUUUCUUCUGAGAGGUAUUCAAAAUAUAUUCAAAUAUUGUUUGGUUUUCUGAGACCUGUAUUUGAAUAUCAAAGAAAAUCUUUUUUUUUUUAAACUCUAAACUCAAGUGAAAAGUUGGUAUUUUCAAAUAAACUACAAAUACAACUAUUUCCUGCCCAGGUCUGGACAGAAUGCGAGCUUCCCCUUAUCCCACUGUAUCCCUCUUCCUACAUAUGUAAAUAAUACCUAUGGUAAAAACGUUUUUCAACAUUUUCUUUAUAAAUCGUUUUUUAAUCAUGGUUUACACCCUGCUGUAUCCUGUGCAUAUGACAAAUAAUAUUUGAUUUGAUUGGAUUUGACACUUCAACCUGUGACAUCCCUAAAAAAUAAAGCAAAAGAAGCACUCUGUCUGCAUAGAUGUUUAGAAGAAGUGCAAUAUCAUUCCUUGAGCAAUACAUAUGUAGCAAACAUGAGUCUGGCUCAAGUUCUGGUGAUGUGAGAGCCCUCCUCUUGGUCUAAUGGUCAAGACCUCCUGCGACACAUACACUGUAUCAUAGGAAUCAAGUAAGCUACAGUACAUGCAUGUGAAAAUGGCAUUGUUCAAUUGUUAACGCAUUUGUUGGUGCCACACUUUUUGAACUCCCACCUUCGUUCUUUAUUGUUUCAUAUAAGUAUUUUAAAGUAUUUAGCACUAGAGCUCUGGCAUUGCCUUCCUUCAUUCUCCAUGCACCCCCACAUACUGUACAAAGGUCACACCAGUGUCAGACACAUAUUACACAUCCAUAAUCAGUGGUUAGAUCAUGUGGUUAGCACUUGCACAGUGUGUUCAUUCAGACGUCUGCCUUAGGAGGAAGUCAGUUCUGUCUCAAAGACCACAGUUCUGAGGAAAUUACAUAUUGUUGCCAGUGUGUUCUGUAAGAUCAUUACUUUUUAUGUGAAUUGACUUGUUCAUUUAAUGUAUUAAGUGAAGUGUUUCAUGGAUUCUUCUGUUCUUAGGUGUCUUAAAAUUGUUGGAGCUGAGGCUUUGACAGACACACUGGUGGAACUUGGACACAAUGUGACUAUAAAUUGUACUUUUCCACCCACUAGUGCAGAAAAUACAUACCGGUACAUACAGCGGCUACCACAGCCUCCACUGGCCAUAUUCUGUUAUGGCAUGACACAGCUGGUACCCCCACCAAGAGGACCAAGGCCCGACUGCAUAGCCUCAACUAUUUACUCCGGGGUCCAGUUUUCAAAUCCUGAACUCACAACUACUGCUUAAUAAGAGAAACCGCUCCUGAGCCUGAAGGUGAUUCUAAGAGCAGCGUGAACAUCAGAAGACAGAACCUCAGCCCCUUCCUGUUACUCCUCAAUUCUCCACUUCCUUUGACUUACAGCACAGAAAUUGGUAAUUGUACCUCUCAUGAAACUGUUGCCAAGUUCUGAGUAUUUAAACUGAUGAAAUAGUUAUUAUUUUUCUGGAAUGUGUGUAAUAGGAGAGUGCUAAUAUACCUCUUGCUAGAACCACCUUUCUAGAGGUGAGGAAAAAAGCUAUUCCAAAUUGCCUGUAGCCGCGGUGUGUUUACUGAUAGGACCACUUAAACUUCUGCACUUUAGCAACAGCUAAUGGGGAUCCAAAUAAAAUACCCCAAACUUUUUUUUUUUUUAUACAAUAUUUGUUGCUGAGUCAAUGCGUAAGUUUUUUGUAAACCAGGGCCAUCUGUCAAGUCAAAAUUGGAAAUGGGAUUGAAAUAGCAUUAAGUCAGUGUGUCCCUCCUGUCAACAAGAUGCAGCUUUACUUACUAAGAUUUUUAAAUAUUUCAAGAUUGGUUAUUAAUGUUGUACUACCAAAUGACAGUUGUUUUGUUGAGAACUUGAGAUUGAACAUGUGGUGCACAGGAAGAUCAUUGUUAUUUGAGUCAACCUUUCAAUUAGAAAGUUAUUUGGACACCACAGUGAUAUUAAAGGAAACAUUCACUUCCUCAAUGCUUUUUAUUAAAAAGUGUUUCUUAUAGCUUUUUGCUAACUAUGGUUUGAUCAUGUGGUCGCACAGUGUGUUCAGUCAGAUGUCUGUUAGAAGGAGGAAGUCAGUUCAUUCUCAAAGAUUUAUCACAGCUCUGAGGAUGUCGAGGAUUGUUUCCUGUCUGUUCUGUAAGACCAUAUUUUUCUUAUCUUAUUUAUUUUACUUUCAUUUGACAAUAAAUGAAGUGUCUCAUGGAUUCUUCUGUUCUUAGGUGUCUUAAGACUGUGUGUUGGAGCUGAGGCUUUGACAGAGACACUGGUAGAGCUUGGACACAAUGCAACCCUGAACUGUUC